CCUUGUAAUUUUGCCAUUGGUAAUAGGGUUCUGACAGCUGACCAUAACGCCAUUUCGAAAUCCAUUACAAGCUUCUCCACGUUACACUCCCCAGUUACUUCUAAGAUUGCUUUUAAUACCUUUCGGUAAUCUUUUUUUUUUCUUUUCCCUGAGGAUUACCGCCGCACCAUGCGGCGGUAAUCCUCCUGAGUUAUACCAGUGUCACACGUUCGGUGCUGCCACUGGUCACACCCAUCGCACUGCAGCGCUUGCUGGCGUGGACGGACUUCAGUAGAACAGCAAAUGCAUGGAAAGGAAGCCAUGGUCAGAAUAUGGUCCUAUGCAGGGUCUUGUUCCGAAGUAACUUUGCUUCAUAUUAAUUCCAGACCAGUAAUUUUGCAUAUCGAGACCCAUUAGUUAAUGUAAGAGAUUCGCGACAGGUUCAUAUAUCUUCAUCAGAAACAUUUCGUGUAUCGAGCUGUGAUGAGUGAGUAUUUAACUUAAUAGCUUCGAAAUAAUUAAGCCAUACGUGAUAUAUAUUAAACUUAGGACUAUCGGAACACCUGAGUUGCGCUCUGCCAACCUGACUGUGGUCCACACUGGGACUGGAUUCAUCGUUCAUCAGAUCGAAGUGAUCGGGCAAACGAUACUCAAAACAUUCGGUAUUUCGGUUCCAUCAAAUGUCGUGGAAUCAUGGAUUGUAAACAAGGCGAUGAGUCACGCACACAUAGGGGAGGCCGGUAUGAUUUGGGUCAAAGGUAAGGGAGGCCGGAGUGACCAGGGCCGGAAGAACUAGGGGCCGGAGUGACCUGGGCCGGAAGAACUAGGGGGCCGGAGUAACUUGUUUCGCACCUGAGGUGGUGUAAGUUAACAUCUCACCCGAAAACUCUUAUAUAAAUAUUUAUGUGCACAAAAUAACCUUUUUUUUUCAUUGUUUACAAGGUUUACCACCAAGAAAGCAUGGUUUUGUGAUGCAUAAAGUGAAAUAUUGCAUAGAGCACCAAAAAUAAAGCAGGAAAAGGCUGAUUUGCCCCACGUGCGCGCUCCUCAUUCCGCCUCGCAGCAACAAGUGUGUACUGUGAUUAAGUAUUGUUUUCGUCGUUUCACCUGCAUGUAUUGGAUAUUUUCUUUGCAUACUUCCACGUUCGUGCCUUGAAGUGAGAAAGGCGCUUUUGGGAUCGCCUUGACCCCUUGGCAUUGAGUAAUAAUGAGCUCAUGCUCAUAUAUCACUUCCCUCGGCAGACCUAAUCCUCUUGUUUGAGGAGAUGCAGCCUCAGCUGGAGAGAAGGACAAGGCGUAGCCGGGCAUUACCAACUCACACCCAGAUUUUGCUGUCCCUGAGAUUGUUUGCCAGUGGGUCCUUCCAAAAUGUCAUUGGAGACACUGCAGACCUACGCAAGCGUCAGCAGAGUCUUUGAGUGUGUGUGCACCGAGUUGAGUGAUAAGUCAGUGCAGGAAAUCAAGAUGCCUCCAACACACCUUGAUCAAAGGAGAACUGCACAACAGUUCUUCAGGAUCAAAAAUUUCCCAAGGGUUACUGGGGCCAUUGAUGGCACCCACAUUGCCAUCAAGGCCCCAGGUGUGGACGAGGCCCUUUACUUUAACCAGAAAAGGUAUCACUCCCUCUCAACAUCCAACUUGUUUGUGAUGCGAAUGGAGUGAUCCUCAGCUACUGCUCCAGACUCCCAGGUGCCUGCACUCUUACGGAGGUAGCUUGCAGUACAGACCCAUCAAGUGUGUGAAAAUAAUUAAUGCUUGCCUGCUCCUACACAACCGCUGCAUGAAGUUCCUGAUGACCUACCACCUCUUGAGGAUGAAGCAGUGCCCCAUGCUGGUGCCGACCCUGCUGUGCUGCAGAGGGGUCUACGUGCUCCAGGCAGAAUUGUGCAGCAAGAAAUCAUACAAAACUUCUUCCAGCAAUGAAGGUAUGGCAGUCCUGUAAAUGCUGUGUGAGACCACAUCCACAGCACGACCACCUCCACAGCAGUGUAUGUUGUCUCAUCUGGAGGUCACCCACCUGCAUGGAUAUGAAUGUUGCAAUUAUCAGCCACUUUGAAGUUCACAUGUAAAGCCAAAUGAAAUUGGUGUAAAUCAUGAAUGUAUUAGAGCAUAUUGAUGUUAUUUAGCACUGCAGUGGUCACUGUCUCAGACCUGACUGCCAGAGGUACUGUACAUACUCCUAUUUAUAAUCCAUUGCUUAGUUGGUUCUUGUAUGUUUAUUGACUAUAUGGGUAAAUUGUGUAACAGCACCAACAAUGAAAUACAACAAGUACACGAGCAAACUUUUUAAAUAAUUGCCAGGGUUUUAAGCACUGCUAACAGUCAUCUAACCUAACUAACCUAACCAUAACCUAACCUCAACAAAGUAAAACCAAUAUUCAAGAAAUGAAAUUCAUUACAGCAGUUUGGGUCCCAAAGGUUGUGCAGAAAAACUUUUUUUUUUGUCCCAAUAUGCAACAAAGUCAUACAGAGGAAGUUGUUCACAUUACUCAAAACAGUGUCCAGCAAUGCCCAAAACAUUAGUCAAUUAAAUUCCAUAAGCAAUUAGGUCAAGAAGACAAAAUAUUAAGCAAAUAUGGUAGUGUGGGUAAAUUUUUACUCUAUGUUCAUCUUUUCCACAUGAAACUAUUUGCUUUUUGUCAUUUUUGGCAUACACUGAAUUAGUAUGUUAAUCAAAUCUGAUGUAACAUAACCAAAGUAAUCUAACAAAACCAAAGACAAACCUGAAAUAGCUAAAAUAACCUUGCUUCUCUAAAAAUAUGUACAUGUAGCCGUUUAACAAUUGCUGUCAUCAUUACAAUUAAUUUGCAGUUGGUAUAUGUGGGGUUCAAAUUAUUCUGGAAUGACAAACUGUAUCUGAUGAGAAGGGUAGGAAAGGCCAUGUUGAGACUGGUGAAGGAGUAAAAGAAUACCCUACUGUGUGUGUGUGCUGGAACCAUAAGCCAUGAUUUCACUUACUUGUAGCAGGACAUCACUCCAUUUUUGGUAAUAUCACCCAUCCAUAUAGCCCUCUAUCCCUCUUCUGUCUCAACUGCACCAUGCUAGGUCUGCAACUAUGCCAAUGAAGAUGUGAUAAGAAUAACCAAUUAACUCACCAGUGCC